UACAGAGGGUGCGAGCGUUAAUCGGAAUUACUGGGCGUAAAGCGCGCGUAGGCGGCUUUGCAGGUCGAGUGUGAAAUCCCCAGGCUUAACCUGGGAAUUGCAUUCGAGACUGCAUAGCUAGAGUAUGGGAGAGGGAAGUGGAGUUUCAGGUGUAGCGGUGAAAUGCGUAGAUAUCUGAAGGAACAUCAGUGGCGAAAGCGGCUUCCUGGUCCAGCACCGACGUUCAGGCACGAAAGCGUGGGGAGCAAACAGG
rnacentral:rRNA from 1 species